GUAUAGAGGAGCGGCGUUUAAAAGUAGCCAUUUUUUAAUGUACGGCAAUACAGAAAACGGCAAAAGGAGGCGCCGCCGAAAAAAAUGCUUUUUGCCGAAGGCGUUUUUUGGGACGGCACAAAAUAUGUGCCGUACUGUCACCGCAGGUGGAGCGCUAUCG
rnacentral:ncRNA from 1 species